rnacentral:rRNA from 1 species
AGAGUUUGAUCCUGGCUCAGAGCGAACGCUUGCGGCGGGCUUAACACAUGCAAGUCGAGCGCAUACCUUCGGGUAUGAGCGGCGGACGGGUAGUAACACGUAGGUCAUCUACCUCUCGGUGGGGGAUAACUGAGGGAAACUUCAGCUAAUACCGCAUGAGGUCCACGGAUCAAAGCAGCAAUGCGCCGGGAGAUGAGCCUGCGGCCGAUUAAUUAGUCCUAGUUGGCGGGGUAAUGGCCCACCAAGGGUACGAUCGGUAGCUGGUCUGAGAGGACGAUCAGCCACACUGGAACUGAGACACGGUCCAGACUCCUACGGGAGGCAGCAGUGGGGAAUAUUGCGCAAUGGGCGAAAGCCUGACGCAGCCACGCCGCGUGUGUGAUGAAGGCCUUCGGGUUGUAAAGCACUGUCGAGGGGGAAGAACACAACUGACGGUACCCCUCAAGAAAGCGCCGGCUAACCCUGUGCCAGCAGCCGCGGUAAUACAGGGGGCGCGAGCGUUGCUCGGAAUCACUGGGCGUAAAGCGUACGCAGGCGGGCCAAUAAGUCUGUCGUGAAAUCCCAGGGCUCAACCCUGGAACGGCGAUGGAGACUGUUGGUCUUGAGUACGGGAGAGGAGAGCGGAAUUCCUGGUGUAGAGGUGAAAUUCGUAGAUAUCAGGAGGAACACCGGUGGCGAAAGCGGCUCUCUGGCCCGAUACUGACGCUCAUGUACGAAAGCGUGGGGAGCAAACAGGAUUACAUACCCUGGUAGUCCACGCUGUAAACGAUGAGUGCUAGUUGCUGGAACACCUUCUUUGUUUCGGUGGCGUAGCUAACGCGUUAAGCACUCCGCCUGGGAAGUACGGUCGCAAGACUAAAACUCAAAGGAAUUGACGGGGGCCCGCACAAGCGGUGGAGCAUGUGGUUUAAUUCGAAGCGACGCGAAGAACCUUACCUAGGCUUGACAUCGCCGAAACCCUGGGGAAACCCGGGGGUGCCAUCGCAAGAUGGAAUCGGUAGACAGGUGCUGCAUGGCUGUUGUCAGCUCGUGCCGUGAGGUGUUCGGUUAAGUCCGGCAACGAGCGCAACCCCUAUCGCCAUUUACCAGCAUUCAGUUGGGGACUCUGGCGAGACUGCCGGUGACAAACCGGAGGAAGGUGGGGACGACGUCAAGUCCUCGUGGCCCUUAUGUCUAGGGCUACACACGUGCUACAAUGGUCAUGACAAAGGGCAGCGAAGCCGCAAGGUGAAGCUAAUCCCAAAAACGUGGCCUCAGUUCGGAUUGGAGUCUGCAACUCGACUCCAUGAAGCUGGAAUCGCUAGUAAUCGCGGAUCAGCAUGCCGCGGUGAAUACGUUCCCGGGCCUUGUACACACCGCCCGUCACACCAUGGGAGUUGGCGUGCCCGAAGUCGUCAUCCCAACCGCAAGGGGGGAUACGCCUACGGCAAGGUCGGCACUGGGGUGAAGUCGGAACAAGGUA